rnacentral:rRNA from 1 species
GCAUGAAGUCGGAAUUGCUAGUAAUCGCGGAUCAGCAUGCCGCGGUGAAUACGUUCCCGGGCCUUGUACACACCGCCCGUCACACCAUGAGAGCCGGUAACACCCGAAGUCAAUAGCCUAACCGCAAGGAGGGCAUUGCCGAAGGUGGGAUUGGUAAUUGGGGUGAAGUCGUAACAAGGUACC